rnacentral:rRNA from 1 species
GCGGGGUAACGGCCCACCAAGACAGCGAUGCAUAGCCGACCUGAGAGGGUGAUCGGCCACAUUGGGACUGAGACACGGCCCAAACUCCUACGGGAGGCAGCAGUAGGGAAUCUUCCACAAUGGACGAAAGUCUGAUGGAGCAACGCCGCGUGAGCGAAGAAGGUUUUCGGAUCGUAAAGCUCUGUUGCCGGAGAAGAACGUGCGGGAGAGGAAAUGCUCUUGCAGUGACGGUAUCCGGCCAGAAAGCCACGGCUAACUACGUGCCAGCAGCCGCGGUAAUACGUAGGUGGCAAGCGUUGUCCGGAAUUAUUGGGCGUAAAGCGCGCGCAGGCGGCUUCUUAAGUCUGAUGUGAAAUCUUGCGGCUCAACCGCAAACGGUCAUUGGAAACUGGGAAGCUUGAGUACAGAAGAGGAGAGUAGAAUUCCACGUGUAGCGGUGAAAUGCGUAGAUAUGUGGAGGAAUACCAGUGGCGAAGGCGGCUCUCUGGUCUGUAACUGACGCUGAGGCGCGAAAGCGUGGGGAGCAAACAGGAUUAGAUACCCUGGUAGUCCACGCCGUAAACGAUGAAUGCUAGGUGUUAGGGGGUCCAACCCUUAGUGCUGAAGUUAACACAUUAAGCAUUCCGCCUGGGGAGUACGACCGCAAGGUUGAAACUCAAAGGAAUUGACGGGGGCCCGCACAAGCAGUGGAGCAUGUGGUUUAAUUCGAAGCAACGCGAAGAACCUUACCAGGUCUUGACAUCCUCUGACAAGUCUAGAGAUAGGCCGUUCCCCUUCGGGGGACAGAGUGACAGGUGGUGCAUGGUUGUCGUCAGCUCGUGUCGUGAGAUGUUGGGUUAAGUCCCGCAACGAGCGCAACCCUUGAUCUUAGUUGCC